AGUGGGAUGGCCGAUAAAGGUGUUAAAUUGUAAAUUUAAUAAUGAUUAAUUCUCUCACUA
rnacentral:tRNA from 1 species